GUAAGUGUGUGACUGCACUCUUCAUUUCCCAGCUGCUUAUCUUCAAUACUGCAACACUCCCUUGUAGAAAACAAAGGAUGUAUUGGGACACUGCUAGUAACAACUCCAACACCACAGGCAUGGAUAAAACUUCCUACAACCCCCCUACAAUCAAAAUCAGAUAAAACAACAUCUCAAAGCAGACAACUCAGCACUAAGAUAAAGUUAAAGCUCCACCUAUUGAUGGAGUUUUGAGCACCUUCACUGAAGUCAGUUCGAAGUGAAUUGUAGCUGAAUGCACUCAACAUCUCUGGAAAUCAGGCUCAGUGUGUCUCAACUGAAAACGUGAGGCACCCAGACUUAAUGGACAGGUUUGAAAAAUGAAAUGCAAAAGGCAGAGAAGAGGAAAUGAGAACCAAUCACUACUGCG